UGUUUUUCACACAUAAAAGUCUGGAACAAGGUCUGAACCAAGGUUCAUGUUUGUACACAUUUGGUCCAGUUAGUUUGGUUUCACAUUGCAAUGUUGAGCCAGACUAAACUUUUCA